GCUUUAUGAUGCUAUCAAGGCAAAUGUGACCUCAUUGGCAGGCUGCCUCCUCAGCCCAUUCCCCUUAUAGAGGUCUGUAAUCUUGGUGGUCAGUGCAAAGCUAUGUGUGUCCGCUGUAAGGGCAGACCUACAGGACAUCCCAUUCCUUCUGGCUUCCUCUAGAGGAGGCAUCCAUCUCUUGCAAAGUGUUGCAAGGAGUGGUCAGGGGCAUGGACACAAGACAAGCCUAGCGUGCCUGGGUUAUGGGUUGCUGGGUGCUGCCAGAGUUAUGGCUUUUGAGGCAACAUGAUCACAAGUCUUUGGUAAUCUGAAAGCU